rnacentral:rRNA from 1 species
GCGGUAAUUCCAGCUCUGUAAGCGUAUACCAAAGUUGUUGCAGUUAAAACGCUCGUAGUCGGAUUUUGGCGAACGCAGCGGGCCGUCCGCGAGGACGCGACCUGUUUGCGGACGCCUUUGUGGAGGGGGGCUCGGUGGUGCUUUAUUGCAUUGCCGAGUCGCUGCCACCGUUUACUGUGAAUAAAAUAGAGUGUUCAAAGCAAGCAAUUUGCCCUGAAUAAAUUAGCAUGGAAUAAUAGAAUAGGACCUAGUCUUGUUUCUAUUGGUUUAUAAAGUCUGGGUAAUGAUUAAGAGGGACGGUUGGGGGCAUUUGUAUUCCAGAGCUAGAGGUGAAAUUCUUGGAUU